CGCGCGGCUGGCGGGGGUUGCGGCGCUUCCCGGUGGGGGCGCGGGGGGCUCCCUCGAGGGGGCCGGGGAGUCGGGCGGGGUGGAGCAGGGGAGUGCGAGGAUGCGUGUGGCUGCGUGCCGAGGCUGAGGGGACGCGUGUCAGUGGAGGCGAGGGGCGGACACUCCCGGCUCCGGGACUGCGCAGCACUCAGCCCGCUGGCUGCGGCGGGGGAGAAGCGCGGCGACUCUUGCGGGGGACACCUCCCGGCUCUGGCCGAGAAACUGCGCGAGGGGCCGCCGCCUCUGUCAGCCUCAGCCCGACAGGCCAGGAGGCUCGGCCCAGCCCUCCGCACCGCCUUUGCCGCCCGCUGCCUUCCCUGACCUCCCUUCUGAGUGAAGCUCCCCCGAACCCCGCCGGGACUCAAGGAUGCGCGCCGCCACCUUUUAGCCGCGGAGGACGCGAGUUGGCAUCUUUUUAUUGUGGGGUGUGCGUGUGUGUGUGUGUGUGUGUGUGUGGAAGUGCUGCAGUUAGGUUUCCUCCCCGCCCGACCCCGAGGAAAGGUGCAGUCCAGCCCCGGUGCGGCACAGCGGCUGGGCGGGCCUAACCCUUCUAGGAAAUGCGGGAGGUGGCUUCAGCGCGCGGACCCGGACUCCCGCAUUACGAUCCAGGGCGACCUGCGGGAGCCGGAGCGGCACAGCCUUCUCUCUGCUGCCGUUCGCACCCAGAACGCGCUCUCGAAAGGCAAUUGACCGAGGGUACCCCUGUCUCUGGUCGCACUCAGCACCUUCCCAAACCUGCGGGAGAGAUGACCUUAGAGGCGGCCGCCCCUCCCCACCCCUCUCCACCUGAGAGCCGAGAUGCCAGGAACCCAGUUGAGACCUAAGGAAAUCGUUUUGCCCUUGCCUCCUCCCGACCCCACUUCGGAACGGCAUUUCAAAUGCAACCCCCUUCCUGGCUUCCCAUUAGACAUGGCCUCAGUAUGCUUCUACUCUCCGAAGUCCAGAGGUAACAGAGGUCACAGGGAGCUGCAGUCCACAUCAUAAUGACUACAUUCAUUCCUACUAGGAAAACACACAUUUGGCAUUGAAAAUGACAUUGACUCUGGAUCAAGUUAAAACACCAUAAUCCAAGAGAUUAAAUGGAAAAAAGAAUGAUUUAUCCAUCAUAGUAAAUAUUUAAGUGUUUAAAAUGUCUGUUCUCCAUAUAUGCUUCAAUGAUGAUGUUCAUAUUUGCAUGCACUGCGUAGCCUAAGGUCUCAUUGAUAGAAAUUCCAAAAGUAUGUGUAGAAUGAAUUAAAAUUACAAAGGGUAUGGGUGAAUUUUUAUUUACUAAGGGUCACUGAAUCAUCAGAACAUAAUAUUAAAUGUUACAUAGAUAUUAAAGAAUAACAGCGCUUUAUUAAGUUAUUUUGAAAAACACCAAAAAUCUUUUAUCCUUAUAUAAAAUACAAAAAUAUAAAAUUGCAUUAAAUUGAUUAAAUUAAUUAUAAGCUAUUCAAUUUCUUAUGUGGGCAAGGAAAAUGAAAAUAGAUAGAUGUGACAGAAAGGGGGAAAGAGUACACAAGAAAAUAAAGAUCUGAAAAGUAGGGAAAGAAGGUGAUAUGGUGGCAGAGGUGGCGUGAAAACAACGUGAAAACAUGGAGAGGAAGAAAGGCAGCAGAAUGCCUUUAUUUCUGGCUGAGAACAUCAACAAUCCUCAGAAAAUUUGUUCUGAACUCUGUACUAAAGACACUGAGUUUAUGGAAAUUUGUCCAAGCAAAUGGGUUGCUUGCUUCACCACUAAUAGUACUUUGCCAAACAGUAGAGUGACACCAGAGCAGUGAUACUACCACAACCAAGAAUGUUUCCCAGUUUUUAUAGAUACCAUGAUUAUAAUUUUAUUUGUUGCAAAUAUUUGAAUCUAAUUUUUUUGAUUUGUGAAUGCACUUUGGCCAAGUACUUCCCUUUUAUCCAGAAUCCUUAAUUGUAAUUUACAACGGUGAUUUACUUUUUUCUGUGUGUGCACAUUUAUGUGUAUCAGACAUGUUAACAUCUAGUCUAAUGAUAUGUACUCCUGUAUUGAUGAAUAAAUUAUUAUUGAUGAGUAAAUUCAAGGUCAAAUCCAGAAAAGAUUAUUUUGAUCCUGGUCUUAACAAUGUGUAGCAUUGCUGCUUUGAUUUGAGCUCAUACUACUUAUACGUUAGAAAAUGAUUUUAAAAAUCAGUUGAAAAAUAAAUUCCUGAUAUUUAACAUA